AUGAUCAUACUUUAUAGGAUCACUUCUAUAGUGCGAUUGUCGGGUUUCUCGCCGAGAUUUCGGAAUAGUUCAACCACGAUGAGGACUUUUAGUGUAAUCUUGAGCGGGAAGCAGCUCUCAAGUGUUUUGCUUGAGAGUUUUGAUGACCGUUCUGACUCGGUUACCGAUGUUGAGAGGAGGAUCACACAGGCUGAGUGGU
rnacentral:snoRNA from 1 species